rnacentral:misc_RNA from 1 species
UAUCAUUCAAGGGACAAAGUUAGUUUUUCAUCAAAAAAUCAUCUUGUGGUUUUGCACCCCUCCCCCAUGACAACAUGUUGAUGUUGCAUCUACUUAAUUUAAUUACGGAUAAUACAAAUGUUUAAAGGUGUUAGACUAGGCAAGGAUAAGCUAAUGGCAUGAAACCAUAGGGCACUUAUUUGAUGAAAAACAAACUUGUCUCUCAAACACCGUCGUUAGAAUCUUACGACUUUUGAUUCAAAUCCUUGUCAUAGCGAAAAUCUAUAAGGUGAAUGUACUGAAUCUUGACCGAAUCUUAUGA